rnacentral:lncRNA from 9 species
AUGGAAAUCUGGAAGCAGCAACAUGUGGCAGUUCCAGCACUUGGCAGGGUCUCUGGAAAGAGCAGAAAACUUGGGUUCUCCUCUUGGCUCUGCCUGGAUGAGCUUGACUGGGCAAAUGGCCUCACUGUUACUUUUGGGGCUUCAGAUCACUCUUCUGUAAAAAUGAGGGGGUUGGAAAAAAACACUGGUUUCCAAACCUUGUAAUUUUUUUGCCCUGAAAUCUGUUCUUUAAACACAAGCUAACUGGGCCACCUCUCCCUCUGCAAAACGUUAAAAUGACACUGGAAAAGAAGAUGGGGUAGGGAGAGACAGCAUGGUCCCUUAAUCCCCCACUCAAAAUCUCCAGCCUGACAGGGGGCUCAUGGAACCCCCCAACCUCUGUGGCACACAAUUUGAAAACCACUUCAGGCUCCUACCCAGCUCUAAGUGGAGUUUGUCCUCAUCAGCAGAAGCCUAGUGCUGCUAACAGUUAGGAAUUGUGCACAGUCGCUAGUAAUAAGGAACCUGACAAAUAAAGGUUUAAGCAGAUUAUGGGCGUUAUUUAUUCAUUCAUUUAUUUGGUAACAAGAAGUCUGAAGGCAGGCACUCCAGGCCAGGAUGGCAGCUCCAGGGCAUCAUCUCCUUUUACUUUUCUGUUUUAUCAUUCUGAGCAUAUGGCUGCCACCUUCAAAUUUGGCUCAUGGUUAGAAUAUGGCUGUUGAAGCUCCAGACAUCACAUUCACAUUCUAAAUGAAAAGAAGAAGGAAAAGGAGAAGGGCGGAUAGGCACAUGCCAAUUCAUUCUCUCUUUAAAAGGCUUUCCUGGGUGCACUACCAGGGAUUCCAGCUGAGGUCACCUUGG